UAACUGCCAGGAGGAUAGGCAUAUGUAGAGAUGUCUUUCCAAGAAGACAUUGUAUUGUAUGUCUUACCAAGACCACUACCGAAUUAAAGGACAUGUGCAAGUCUUACACGAGAUUUGCCAGAAAAUGAACUAGAACUCAAAACCAACGAGCACCACUAUACGCCCACAACUG